GUUUGCAAUCUACUACAUAUUCAACCUUCAGUAUCAACAUGAAGCAGCCUGCACUCUGGAAUUCAUUCAGAGGCGCUUCAUCGGUAUUAAUCCAGAAAGAGGGACAAAGGCCAAAAGAGGCAAGGUUGUCUCCAAGAAAACAGGUUUGAUUGUCCAGAAGAAGUCUGCUACAGUCAAUACACACGUUGCCAUGCUACUGAAGAAUCUUGCUGACUUUGAAUGGAACUUCAUUUAGAUUGUGAGGAACAGCAGCUACCAAAGUGAUGUUCUCCUGGUUCCACAAGAAGUAAAAACACAAGCCUACCUCAUAGAAACUCCAAGUCAACCUUCCUGUUGCAGAGAUGCCAACCUUUUCCUGUUUUUGUUGAUGCAUAUUAUUGAAGUGUUCUGCUAUACUAUAAUAGUUUCAAA